GUGCCAACAGCCGCGGUAAUACCGGCAGCCCGAGUGAUGGCCGAUCUUAUUGGGCCUAAAGCGUCCGUAGCCAGCCGAACAAGUCCGUUGGGAAAUCCACCCGCCUAACGGGUGGGCGUCCAGCGGAAACUGUCCGGCUUGGGACCGGAAGGCUCGAGGGGUACGUCUGGGGUAGGAGUGAAAUCCCGUAAUCCCGAACGGACCACCGAUGGCGAAAGCACUCUGAGAAGACGGCUUCGACAGUGAGGGACGAAAGCUCGGGUCUCAAACCGGAUUAGAAACCCGAUAGUCC
rnacentral:rRNA from 1 species